rnacentral:tRNA from 1 species
GUUUAUAUAAUUUAAGUAAAAUAUUAGACUGUGACUCUAACUAUAAGAGUUAAA